rnacentral:rRNA from 1 species
CACGUAGGGCGCAAGCGUUGUCCGGAAUUAUUGGGCGUAAAGAGCUCGUAGGCGGUUUGUUACGUCUGCUGUGAAAUCCUAGGGCUUAACCCUGGGCUUGCAGUGGAUACGGGCAGACUAGAGGUAGGUAGGGGAGAAUGGAAUUCCUGGUGUAGCGGUGAAAUGCGCAGAUAUCAGGAGGAACACCGGUGGCGAAGGCGGUUCUCUGGGCCUUACCUGACACUGAGGAGCGAAAGCGUGGGGAGCGAACAGG